AAAUCUUUAAGUUAAUUAAACUAUUAAUCUUCAAAAUUAAAAAUAUUUAAAUUUUAAAUAAGUUUUA
rnacentral:tRNA from 1 species